AAUACCCAAGAACCCAAGACCAAGUCAAAAUACCCAAGAUCUUGGGUAAAUACCCAAGCAGUGGUCACGCUGCUAACAAUAGGGUGUGUUCGAAGAUUUAUGUUUGCACAUAAGCCUGCGGCCGCGCGCAUUAGACCAAAUUUGUACCCCAUGACAUAAUAAACCUACUCGCAUAUAAAAGCUAGGGACUGGGUAAAUAUUUUAAUUGGAAGUGAUUUUAUUAAACUUGACAAUAGAGGGCGUAUUUUACAUUUUUAUGUAAGUAGGUCUCCUGAACAAUGGAAUCCAUAUUUUGACAAGUUGGGCAUAUUUUUUACAGAUAUCUGAAUAAUAUUUAGUGGGAUAAUUUUAUAUAAUAUUAUGUAGCAGGUCUUUGUAGCUGUCAUUAUAUAACUGAUAAGCGAUCAAGACCAAUCAAUCAUUGAAAUAUGUUACCAUGGCAAUGCAACACAACAUGAAAUCUAUAAUCCGCUUCUCGUUGGAUUUCUUUAUUUAAGUUAUAAGUUGUUAGUUCUAAUCUAGCAAAUGUCAAACAUGUUACGUUAUUGGAGAUUAGAUUUAAGCAAAGGAUGCCAACGACAAAUAAUUAAUACCAACAUAAUCUCUGUCACUACGAUAUACAGCCUAUGACAAAUACUAUGUGCGCUCUAAAAAAAAAAAGCCCAACUUAAAAAAUAAUAUAAUUAAUGCGCGCAUCGAAAAUUUGUAGCUUAUUUACUUAUCACCAAAGUAUAAUUCAGUCCCUGGUGGGAUUUCAACUCUAGUAAUUGCUUCAUGUUUAUUCUACAACCUCGUGGAAAACAGUUUAUGUGCGAAGACAAUCGAAGUUCUCCAUGAUCGAAGCACUCACAUGGUCCGAUUUCAACCAUUUACAUAUAUCGGAGAUGAAAGAGAUAGAAAUGUUUACUUUCUUCUCCUGUUGCUAACGUCAGGUAUCGAAGUGUUAUCUCGUCGAUUACGGGUACAAAUUUCAAUCCUGGCAGCCUACAGAUUGGUCACUAUUAUCACGGCAGAUAAGAGUUAAAAAUGAUAUCCAUUUAUCACGGCUCCCACAUCGGCCUAUAUUGCGUCGUCCAAUAUUUAAUGUUUGCAAUAUUUUUCUUGGCGAUUAUCUGCUGUAUGACAGCAAAAAAUAUCACAUGAUAUCAUUUCGACGAAGGAUCCCGUGACGCCGGUUGUAAGCACAAGACUUAGGACAGGACACUUAGGACGGGGGAGGGGGAGAUUCCCCCGACGGGGGAGGUGAGAUUCCCCGACGAGGGGUCAGAUUUCCAAUGUGGGCGUGGUCGAGCUUCGAUUAAAAGUGUGGUGGAUAUUUUCUAUCAUUCGACUACACCCUCCCCUGAUUUUGCGUCCUCUAAAGCCGAAGGCACACUCUCGAUAUCUGAAGAGAAAGAAGACAAGUCCAUUUGUGCUUCACCUAAUUGUGAUUGUUUUGCAAAUUCAGUGACUAUAAUAUUCUCAAUUACCAGCAAGACAAAUUGGCUGAUAAGUCCACUAGCGACCCAUCCAAACCCACACUCGCUGGAUAGGACAUGGAUAAGGAACAGAAAUUAAGAACGCAACAAGGAUGGAAAAUCAACAAAAUCGUCGAGAAUAAAACGGAAUACCCAGAGUGAAGAUUGAUAUACCACCGGUCCACACCACUUGCAUAUAAGUUGCGCAAUAAA